rnacentral:rRNA from 1 species
CGGACCUCCGAUCAAGCAAGAGGACCCGCUGAAUUCAAGCAUAUAACUAAGCGGAGGAAAAGAAACUAACCAGGAUUCCCCCAGUAACGGCGAGUGAAGCGGGAAGAGCUCACGUUGUAAAUCUGACUUCGGUCCGAAUUGUAGUCUGGAGAGGCGUGACCAGCUGGAGACGGGGGCGAAGUCUCUUGGAAAAGAGCAUCAAGGAGGGUGACAAUCCCGUUCUUGCCCCCGCUUUCCAUGCGUACGGUCCGUUUUCUACGAGUCGAGUUGCUUGGGAUUGCAGCUCAAAGCGGGUGGUAAAUUCCAUCUAAAGCUAAACACGGGUGGGAGACCGAUAGCGAACAAGUACCGUGAGGGAAAGAUGCAAAGAACUUUGAAAAGAGAGUUAAAGAGUGCCUGAAAUUG